rnacentral:rRNA from 1 species
ACGGCUCAGUAACACGUAGUCAACAUGCCCAGGGGACGUGGAUAACCUCGGGAAACUGAGAUUAAACCGCGAUAGGUCAAGAUUUCUGGAAUGGAUCGUGUCUUAAAUCUACAUGGCCCCUGGAUUGGACUGCGGCCGAUCAGGCUGUUGGUGAGGUAAUGGCCCACCAAACCUAUAACCGGUACGGGCUCUGAGAGGAGAAGCCCGGAGAUGGGCACUGAGACAAGGGCCCAGGCCCUAUGGGGCGCAGCAGGCGCGAAACCUCUGCAAUGGGCGAAAGCCUGACAGGGUUACUCUGAGUGAUUUCCGCUAAGGGGAUCUUUUAGCACCUCUAAAAAUGGUGCAGAAUAAGGGGUGGGCAAGUCUGGUGUCAGCCGCCGCGGUAAUACCAGCACCCCGAGUGGUCGGGACGAUUAUUGGGCCUAAAGCAUCCGUAGCCGGUUGUGCAAGUCCUCCGUUAAAUCCAGUCGCUCAACGGAUGGGCUGCGGAGGAUACUACAGGACUAGGAGGCGGGAGAGGCAAGCGGUACUUAGUGGGUAGGGGUAAAAUCCUUUGAUCCAUUGAAGACCACCAGUGGCGAAGGCGGCUUGCCAGAACGCGCUCGACGGUGAGGGAUGAAAGCUGGGGGAGCAAACCGGAUUAGAUACCCGGGUAGUCCCAGCUGUAAACGAUGCAGACUCGGUGAUGGGCUAGCCUCGUGUCAGCCCAGUGCCGCAGGGAAGCCGUUAAGUCUGCCGCCUGGGGAGUACGGUCGCAAGACUGAAACUUAAAGGAAUUGGCGGGGGAG